GAGCUUGCUCCUGGUGGCGAGUGGCGAACGGGUGAGUAAUGCGUCGGAACGUACCGAGUAAUGGGGGAUAACGCAGCGAAAGCUNUGCUAAUACCGCAUACGNCCUGAGGGGGAAAGUGGGGGAUCGCAAGACCUCACGUUAUUCGAGCGGCCGACGUCUGAUUAGCUAGUUGGUGGGGUAAUGGCCUACCAAGGCGACGAUCAGUAGCGGGUCUGAGAGGAUGAUCCGCCACACUGGAACUGAGACACGGUCCAGACUCCUACGGGAGGCAGCAGUGGGGAAUUUUGGACAAUGGGGGCAACCCUGAUCCAGCCAUUCCGCGUGAGUGAAGAAGGCCUUCGGGUUGUAAAGCUCUUUCAGCUGGAACGAAACGGUACGCUCUAACAUAGCGUGCUAAUGACGGUACCGGCAGAAGAAGCACCGGCUAACUACGUGCCAGCAGCCGCGGUAAUACGUAGGGUGCGAGCGUUAAUCGGAAUUACUGGGCGUAAAGCGUGCGCAGGCGGAUUGUUAAGCAAGAUGUGAAAUCCCCGGGCUUAACCUGGGAAUGGCAUUUUGAACUGGCAGUCUAGAGUGCGUCAGGAGGGGGGUGGAAUUCCACGUGUAGCAGUGAAAUGCGUAGAGAUGUGGAGGGAACACCAAUGGCGAAGGCAGCCCCCUGGGAUGACACUGACGCUCAUGUACGAAAGCGUGGGUAGCAAACAGGAUUAGAUACCCUGGUAGUCCAVGCCCUAAACGAUGUCAACUGGUUGRGGGGGGAGUGAAAUCCCUUAGUAACGAASUAACSCGUGAAGUUGACCGCCUGGGGAGUACGGUCGCAGAUUAAACUCAAAGGAAUUGACGGGGACCGCACAAGCGGUGGAUGAUGUGGAUUAAUUCGAUGCAACGCGAAAAACCUUACCUACCCUUGACAUGUCCGGAAUCCUGCAGAGAUGCGGGAGUGCUCGAAAGAGAACCGGAACACAGGUGCUGCAUGGCUGUCGUCAGCUCGUGUCGUGAGAUGUUGGGUUAAGUCCCGCAACGAGCGCAACCCUUAUCAUUAGUUSUACGCAAGGGCACUCUAAUGAGACUGCCGGUGACAAACCGGAGGAAGGUGGGGAUGACGUNAAGUCCUCAUGGCCCUUAUGGGUAGGGCUUCACACGUCAUACAAUGGUCGGUACAGAGGGUUGCCAAGCCGCGAGGUGGAGCCAAUCCCAGAAAGCCGAUCGUAGUCCGGAUUGUUCUCUGCAACUCGAGAGCAUGAAGUCGGAAUCGCUAGUAAUCGCGGAUCAGCAUGUCGCGGUGAAUACGUUCCCGGGUC
rnacentral:rRNA from 1 species